CUGCAAAUCCCCAACAUGCCUGAGUCUGGGUUGCCCCUAUGCAAUCCUACAGUGCUUGCUAGAACAUGAUGAAAAUGUUUGAGGCCAUGCCUUGUGCCAUUACAAGCACGAUUAUAGACAUUUCAGAUAAUU